rnacentral:lncRNA from 1 species
GUAGCAGGUGAACAGAAGAAAAACACAUGUACUAUUACUGGUGUUUAUUAUUACCCUGAUCUUUCUUUUUCUUCUUCUUGUUUGAUGACAGCAAGGUAGUGUGCUUAAUUUCCACGUGUAAUUUUUAUACUGUCGACGCCUGUACUUUUGUGGUGAUUGCAGUAGCUUUGUGGGUGUUUUCAUUUUUCUCUCUUUUUUCUAUAAGCUGGACCUCCUGUUCUUUGCCCUAUGGCUGUGGUUAUUAUUAUCUACACGAUCUGUGGCCGUUUGUUUGUAGUCCCUCCUGAUUAAAUACUGUGUAGCCCCUUAUGGCAAGCUGAUGUCACUCAUAUCAUGCACCUGUACUACUAUAAUGUAAUGUGAUGUGAUGUUGUUACCAGUGGGUGAUAAACCCUAAUACUAUAACUAACCAUCAUGCUUGUUGGCAUGAUCUGUUGUUGGCUAUUCUAGUCAUGGCUGUUGGCAUAAAGCAUUAUUCACAUGUCUGCUGCUGGCAUUCUAAUUUCUAACCAUGUCUGUUGAGAGAGGGCAGCACUCAUGUUUGUUGCCAUGUUGGCCAUCCCAUCCAUGGUUUGUUUUUUCAACGGCUGGGAUGGAUUGAUGUGAUUUGGCUUUAUUUUUUAUACUCUUUAUUUACUUGCUUUUUGGGUGUGGUUGGACCCUCCUAAUCUUGGUUGCUUGGGAAGGUGGCAUCGACCGAAUCAGGUGCGUGGAAAAGAAAUGACAAUGAUGUAUUUAUAUUGGAGGUGGUACAGCUAAAAUAGCUGUGAUUUGAUGAUGGGGCUGGAUGGGGCUGGGUGGGUGGGUUUUGUCACAUGCACCCAUGUGGCCUUUAACUGUUGCAUAAUUGCAUCCUGGCUGGGUGUAAAGUAUCAAAUGAGAGCAGCAUUCAUUUGCUUUCCAGUGUUUCUAUUAUUAUUUUUUCUUUCAGAAUUAUGGAAUUUUAAUAAUAAUAAUAAUAAUAAUAAUAAUAAUCAUCAUCAUCAUCAUCAUCUAAUGUGUUCUUCGGACUGCCUAGUGAGCUGAUGUGUGUGCGUGAGCACUCUGUUUUGUUGUAUGUCUGGAAUGUAAAUAAAUUUGGCCAUUGCAGAUAAUAACAUAUCAAACAUACAUGCAUCUGUAGGUGUCCAAAAGAAAUUUCUUAUCUUUUUAUUUUUACUUUUUCUAAGAACAAAACAACACCUUAUCUGUUUGCAUCAGCUUUAACUUGCUACUGACACCAAUUCUGCAAAAGAAAAGGAAAAAGGAAAAGACAUGCAAAAAAAAAGAGGCGAAGGCACAAGUUGAGCCCACGGCCCAUCUCAGAGCUACUUCUGGCCCAACGUCGUGCACAUCCCGACGUGCCGAGCACGAGCAGCAGCACAGGCCGCGACCCAGGACAGCACACACCCCCGGGACCCACAUCUCAGAGACUAGAGCUCCCAGAGCCCUGCACCAUGCCAUCACCACCACUUCUCUUCCACUACCACCUACUGCCCGCUUCCGUUCUUCUGCCAAUGAAUCAAGCAUCUCCGCCGGAAGAUUGCUACGAAGUAUUCGGUUCCUGCUCUGCCCCUUCUCCUCUGUUCUUCCUCCUCUCCGCCGCCGCCGUCUCGUUCAUCUUAGAAGAUGACAUACAUCCACGCUGCAAAUGUAGGCAAUGCACAUUGCUGACCUUCCAGUUCGAGUCCUGUGUGCAAUAGGACUGAUCAGCAGCAGGGAUGCAUUCAUGAUCAGGUCUUGUGUGCGCUGGAGGAGAAGGUGAACUAGGGAGGGAGGUUGGAGGAAGACGAGGGGCUGGCUAACCGGCGGCUGGAGAAGCGCGGCGGCGGAGGAGAGGCAGGAUGCUGCAGCGGGCGGCCAGCAACGCCUACUCGUGGUGGUGGGCGAGCCACAUCCGCACCAGGCAGUCCAAAUGGCUCGACAGCAACCUCCAAGGUCCGUUCCCCUUCUUCGUUGCGCCAACCCAUAUACGCGCCUAGAUCUCAAUGCUUGCUCGGCACAUCUUUGAUUAUUUUUCGUGGUCAGAAGUUUGCAUGCUGUCCUGCAGAAGUUGUCAAAUGAAGUAACAUUUCGUGUAUAGUCAGUUGCUUCAUGAAUGUAUCAUGGAAUCUAGUUGCAGCAAAAUAUGUACUUUGCAUUGCCAUUCUGACCAAGAAACACAUGGAUUCUGUAAUGAAAUACACACUACAUCACUGUGAGGUGUUUAUGAAACUUGUGUAUGGCUCAGGUUAGCAGAAAUGUAUCUCACUAGUUUCUUUUUUUGCGGGGGGUAUCUCACUAGUUGAUAGCAAAGAUAUGUGGUGAUGUUUGGUCACUCGGAUAAAGAAAUACUGUUUUUAGACUAGCAUAAGCAUAUAUACAGUUAAAUCCCCUCACAAAAAAUGAUGCACCAUUCGAGCUGUUCAUGAUUAAAAACAUAGGCAUACUAUUCUACAGAAAUUAAGUGUACGAGCGGAAACCACUUGGAUAUCAACCCAACACCAAUUAACUGCUUUGGUGCCAACAUAUCUUUAAUCAGGGUACUAUGAAACAUCCUUUAAGCAAAUUUCAGCAAUUCUGCACAUGCAAUUGGAUAUUGAUUGUGAGCAAUUGCCUUUACAUGCGAUUUCUCCAAAAAAAUAAUGUUGAAUUGCAUUGUGGUGUAACUGAAUACAUGUUAGCACUACUAUACUUUUGGUCGGGCAUUGAGCAAUUGCAUUUGAUGCGCAGAUAUGGAAGAUAGGGUCAAAUGCAUCCUCUUACUCCUUGGAGAGGAAGCAGAUUCUUUCGCAAAGAGGGCAGAAAUGUAUUACAAGAGGCGACCAGAGGUGAUCAGCUCCGUGGAAGAAGCGUACCGGGCAUACAGAGCCCUUGCAGAACGCUAUGACCACAUGUCAGGAGAGCUACACAAAGCAAACCACACUGUUGCAACUGCCUUCCCUGACCAGGUUCAGUAUUCUAUGCUCGAAGAGGAUGAUGACAGUCUCCCGAAAGCAUUCACGGCGGUUGAUCCUCGUAAAAUCCACAAAUCAACGGUGGAGGGGCUGAUGAAUAAGAAGAAAGGAAGGAAACCAGGACAGAAAGAUGGAGGAAAGAAUUGUGCAGCUCCAGUCAACAAGGAGAAUGCGCAAAAGGAGAUCAGCAGGAUGCAGAAAGAGAUAUUGGUGCUGCAGACUGAGAAAGAGUUCAUCAAGAGCUCUUACGAGAGUGGAAUCGCAAAGUACUGGGAUCUUGAAAAGCAAAUCAAUGACAUGCAUGAAGAAGUCUGCUACUUCCAGGAGGAGUUCAACGAAAGCGCUGUGAUUGAAGAUGAUGAGGCGAGAGCUUUGAUGACAGCGAGUGCCCUUAAAUCUUGUGAAGACGCCAUUGCCAGACUGCGGGAGCAGCAGAAGCUCUCGUUCAGCCAAGCAAUGGUUGAGCUGGAAAGGGCCAGUGUUUCCAGAGAGAAACUGAAGAACAUCAUGAAAGAGCAUGGUAAAUUCCUGUCGGAUUCAGGAAAUUCUCUUUACGAGAAUGUGAGAAAUGAUGCCACCGUUAAGAUGGAUGAUCUGUACUCUAUGAAGCAGGAGAAAAUUGGAAUAGAAGCAAUAGUAGAUAAGAUCAAGGAAUACUUUCAGAAAGACACUGAUAUUUCUGUGGCAGAGAUUGCAGAGAGAAUUGAUGACAUGGUCAAUAAAGUUGUGGACUUGGAACUCAUGGUUUCAUCACAGACUGCUAAGAUAGAUAGGCUGUGUCUGGAAAACACAGAGCUGGAGAUAUCACUCCAGGAACUGGAGGGAGAGCAGGCAGUAGUAAACAGUGGUUCAGGUGAAUUGAAUGACAAGCUAGAGAAGGCAGAAGAUGAGCUGAUGAGAGUGCAGUACCUUGAGAGCUCCUUCCAUGCAGAGGAAAGCAUAGUCUAUUCAAAUUUCGCUGAAACCGCAAGUAGCUUUUGUUGUAUUACAGACUUAUUGCAGUCACCUCCUGUUGAGCACCAAGCUGGUUCUGCGCCCAGGCUGACUCAUGAAGCGACACCAUCCGCUGACACUGCAUCAUCUGGCAAGUGCGAGAAAACAGAACCUGAAGAAGAUCCUCAGAUGGAUAAACCUACAACAAAGCCUGACAUGGAUGGGGUCCCUGAUAGUUCUGGUAAAUUGGAGCUAGCUACGAUCAGCGAUAACUGUCACCAUGACAUCAAGGAAGAAAGGCAAUACUGCGCAGAUGAUUUGGAGGAUUUGUGGGAUUGCGGGCUUGAAAGAAAGUCGAGCUUUGCAGAUGCAUCGGUAAAUAAGGAAACAGCAGAAAAUGUUAUUACAGGUAUGUUGCAGACACCUCUUACUGAGCACCAAGCUGGUUGUGUGCCCACACUGGCUGAUGAAGCAACACCACCCGCUGACACCGAACCAUCUGGCGAGUAUGAGAAAAUAAAACCAGAAGAAGAUCCUCUAAUGGAUAAAGCUACAAGAAAGCCUGACAUAGAUGGACUCCCUGAUUGUUCCAGUAAGUUGGAGCUAGCUACAGUCAGUGACAACUCUCACCAGUCUAACUGUUACAAUGACAUUAAGGCAGAAAGGCAUGACUGCACAGAUGAUUUGGAGGAUUUAUGGGAUUGUGGGUUUGAAAGAAAUUCUAGCUUUGCAGUUGCAUCAGUAAAUAAGGAAACAGCUGAAAAUGCAGGCAGUGAUACUACAGAUAUGUUGCAGUCACCUCUCACCGAGCACCAAGUUGGUUAUGUGCCCACAAUGACUGAUGAAGCAACACCACUCGCUGACUCCAAACCAUCUGGCAAGUGUGAAAAAAUAAAACCAGAGGAAGAUAAUCAGAUGGAUAACGAUACACAAAAGCUUGACAUAGAUGGAUUCCUGGAUUGGUGUGGUAAGCCAGAGAUAGCUAUCAUCAGUGCUGAUUCAGAGAAUUUGUGGCAGUUUGAGCUUGACGGUGAAUCUAGCUUUGCAGCUGCAUCAGUAGAUAAUGGAACAGCAGAAAAUGCAGAUAACAGUACAUCUGGUGAACAUAACAAUGCAGAAGUGAAAUAUAAUCAUGGAGCCAUUGGCAGCAACAUGCAACCAUAUGUUGUACAUUCUCAUGAGCAAGGUUCGGUAGAUCGAUUGCAUCAAAGUUCACCUGAAGCCCCAUGGGAUCACGACCUAAAACAAGUGGAUGGCAAGCAAGAUUCAUCGACAGUGGAUCAUAGCAUUUUUGGAGGCCACUUGGAACAAGAUAUGAACAUAGAAGAACGGUUAGAAGACUCGCAUUUCACUGAAAAUUUCACUCCUGGCAAUGGAAAAGCUGUUGGUGUUGGAGAUCAAGAGAACAACAUGGCUAAUAUGCAGCAAUUGCAUAUGAGUGGACUCCAAGACAAGAAAAUGGUACUAUUAACCGAGUGCAAGGAAAAAGAAUCAGAAGAAGAUCCUCAGAUGGAUAAAGCUACAAGGAAGCCUGAAAUAUAUGAAUUCCCUGACUUUUCCAGUAACUUGGAGCUAGUAAACAGCAAUGACAACAGGCAGCCAUCUAACAGUUACCAAGAAAUUAUGGCAGAAAAGCAUGACAGUGUGGGUGAUUCAGAGGAUUUGUGGUAUUGUGGGCUUGAGAGAAAAUCUAGCUUUGCAGUUGCAACGGUAAAUAAGGAGAAGGCAGAAAAUAUAGACAAUUACGCAUUUGGUGAACAUAACAAUGGCAUCAGCAUGCAACCCUAUGUUGUUCAUUCCCAUGAGCAGGGAUCAUUAGAUCGAUUGCAUCACAUUUCAUCUGAAGUCCCAGGAGAUCAUCAUGCGAAGUUAGAGGAUGACAAGCAAGAUUCAUCAACAGCGGGCCAUAGCAUUUCCAAAGGCCACUAUGAACAAGAGAUGAAGAAAGCAGAAGAGUCAGAAGACACACAUGGCACUGAAAAUUCAAUUCCUGGCAGUGAAAUUGCUGUUGUUGUUAGAGAUCAAGAGGAGAACAUGGCUAAUCUGCAGAAAUUGCUUAUGAGUGGACUCCAAGACAAGGAAAAGGUACUACUGACCGAGUACACUUCUAUCCUCCGAAAUUACAAAAAUGCAAAGAGAAGGCUUACAGAAGUGGAGAUAAAGAAUCAGGAAUGUUUGGAUGAGAUGAAAGCCAUGAUGAGCGAACUACGCUCUGCCAAUGAAUUGAAGGAUAAGGAGAUUCGGUCACUACGUGAACUCCUGAACACUUCUACUGUCAAAGAUGCACAUCAGAAUGGCCAUCAAAUGAAUACAUACACGUCCUUGAGUAUCAAGAGUGGGUCCUUCAGGGGGCACCGAAGGAUCCCAAGCUUUUUGCCAGGUCAUCAAAGGAGAGAAAGUGCUUCUUCCAUUUCGAGGAUAAUCAUGAAGAAUUCUAGCCCGAAGAACAAAGAUGAUGCAUCACAUGAUGCUGUUUUUCAGGCAGAAAGAAUCGGUAUGGGUGACAUCAGAUUAACUAAUAUUCUUGAGAUGCAGAACGCCUCACCUCUUGAGGACAAGUUCAGAAGAGACAUCGAUGGGCUUUUGGAGGAGAACCUAGACUUCUGGAUGAAGUUCAGCACAUCAUUCGAAAAGAUUCUAGAAUUGCAGACCAAGCAUGAUCAGCUUCAAUCAGAGAUUGGCAAGCGAACAAACGCGGACAGGCUCAAGGAAAACAGCGGUGGCACAAGUGAUCCUCGUGCAGAAGCUGAACCCGAAACCAUAGAGAAGCGGCUACGGGAACUUAAGAUUGAAAUGCAAGUAUGGCUGGAACAGAAUGCGAUGUUCAAAGGGGAGCUCCAGUGCAGGUUUGCUUCCCUGUGCAGUAUACAAGAGGAAAUCCAGGCAGCAAUGGAGAUGGAUGCAGAGACUGUGGAAGGAAUCCAAUUCACUUCAUACCAUGCUGCCAAAUUCCAAGGGGAGAUCUUGAGCAUGAAGCAGGAGAACGACAAGGUUGCGGAUGAACUGCAGGCUGGCUUAGAUUAUAUAAGAGGCCUACAAGAAGAAGUCGAAAAGAUCCUGGCAAAGAUACUGAAGAGCACCAGCUUAUCUGGGUCGAAAGGCAGCAGCCCUUGGAGGAAUGCACCCUCUAAGUCACGAGUGCCGCUCCGGUCGUUCCUGUUUCCAGCCAAGAAAAAGAAACCAUCCCUGCUGGCAUGCAUGAAUCCAGCACUUCAGAAGCAGUACAGUGACAUGGCAUUCUUUGCUAAAAUGGAAUAGGUAAACCCUGUCUGUCUCUUCUUAUGCAUUAAUGGCUAUACUUUCAGCUAGUGUUGUUCUUCCUAUGAGUUGGUGGACUAACACGCUGUAUCGGUAAUCAGGCCUUCAUGAUGGAACCGAAUUCAUCACACACGGAGCCAGAUGAGCUGUGUCUGUGAGGCAAACAUGACCUGAAAUAUGACUAUCAGGUUGUAUUAGACAGCUUCAUUGUUGGGCUAACUACAAGGUUCUCACGGCAUAUUUAGUGGAGAAACUAGGGAUUACAUUUAGCUAUUUCUUUUCAGAGGACAUACAUAUAUAUACUUUUGUCAAUAAUUUAUUCAUGGCACAUUAGUUUAGCUACAAAAGGCAGGAGUUUCAUCUGUGCGACUUAUGAGAUCAGCUGCGUGAUUGGUUUGACCCUGCUAUAGUGCCGUUCAACGAGGACGACAACACGCGCAUUCCGAAACCUCUUAUGAUGUGGCGCCAUUAAAGCAGCCAUGAAAUAAUCGUGAAUUCCUUCAUCUCGGGACGAUCCAGAGAGAAGAGGGACAUAUAGCAUCAAUGGCAGUCGAACAAAACGGAGCAAAGACGUACAGUGUAGUGAUCCUUACCAGCUUUGGGCUCUUUCUUAUGCCACCGCGCGGCGUUGGCCGCAGCCGCAUUCCGUCGAACAGGUCGCGGGCAUCCGGCGAGGCAGGCCCAUUUCUACUCUUCCUCCUCCUCUCCCCACGACGGCGACGCGCUUAGCCGAGGCAGCCCUCACCACCCACGCGGCAGAGGCGCGCGUGGCGCCCCGAGCCUCGCCCGCCUCCACGGACGGCGGGGGAGAUGAGGGCACUGCCGCCGCUGCUUUGGAAUUGGUACCACCGAUCUCUUCCCAUCUCCGUUUCUGUAGAGUUUCGUUCGAUCUUUCCUAGCUCGAUCUCCGCGGGUUUUGUUCGUGAUCUCGAACUGAUGGGCUGGCGUAAUUUGUGAGAACCGCGAUCCUUGUUCGUCGUGGACUCGCAAUAGGUGCCAGGAGAGGACCCAAGCCACGGCUCCUCUGAAGAUAACUGAAGCAGCGUCGACGAAGCUGAAGAAGAAGCAAAGGUUCAGACAAGCAACGGCCCAGAUUGCCUGAGGACUCGUGUGAGGACCAAAUUACCAGAACAAGGCGAUCCUCUCAAUCUCUUGCAUUAUCAGUGGAAAAACAGUAGAAAUUUAGGGAUACAACUUGGGGAAUUUCGCGAGAUCAGAGACUCCGACUUGGUUCGCUAGCUAGGGUUCUACCAACUACAGCAUAUGCUAAGAAUCUUCUUGACCAUCUCCUCCCCUUAGCGUGCCUUAUAAGCUAACAGGACAGCUCACAGCUCACAACUAACGGCACUGUUACAGAUCACAACGGUGUCGACAAAAGUAACAGUUACAGGAAACGGUGAGGAUGGAAUCCGAGCCGUUGAUAUCUCUAGCGCUCAUCUUGACCGUCGCUUCUCUGAAUCUUCUGUGGCUGCAUCUCUUCGUCAGUAAACUCUCGGCUUGGGUCCUGACAAUGCCGCCGCCAUGACGAUCGCCUUGUCCUCGAGGCGAAAAAGCUUGUGACCUGGGAAUGUUUUGUUGAGGAAUGUGGCGUCCUCCCAUGUUGCAUCAUCUGGAGCCAAACUUUCCCACUGUACCAAGCACUGACCCACUGGAGUUUUGUUCCUCUGGAUGACGCGACGAUCCAGCACUGCUACUAGUAUGGUUUUGACAUAGCCUUCUGGUGUAACCAGAGGAACAUGAGGGAGAGGAAUAGCUCGGUGGCCGAUGUGUUUCUUCAGCUGGCUAAUGUGAAACACUGGGUGUAUGUUAGUCCCCUCUGGCAGAUCAAGUUUGUAAGAUACUUCUCCAAUUCUUUCCAGUAUCUUAUAUGGACCAUAAAACUUUGAGCGAAGUUUGAGUGAACCCCUCAGACCAAAGGCAUUCUGUCCGUAUGGCUGGAUUUUAAGGAAUACCUUGUCUCCCACUGCUAACUGCCUCUCAGUCCUUUUCCUGUCUGCAAAGUGUUUGAUCCUGCUUUGGGCAUGUUCCAGGUUUGCUUUCAGGCGUUGCAUCAUGUGCUCUCUUUCAGAAACUGUCAGCUUUGCUUCAGGAGAUAGCAACUGGUCAGAGGCAAACUCCCCAAUCUGAGGAGGUUUAUAACCAUAGAGAGCUUGAAAGGGGGUGCAUUUUAAAGAUGAGUGGUAACUAGUAUUGUACCACAGUUCUGCCAAAGGUAACCACUGUAGCCAUUUCUUUGGCUCUUGGAACACCAUGCCCAUGAGAUAAGCUUCCAAACACUGAUUCACUCGCUCGGUUUGACCAUCAGUUUGAGGGUGUGAGGCAGUACUGAAUCUGAUUUGUACUCCAAAUGCAUUGAAAAGUUCUUGGUAUGGUGCACUAGUGAAUAUAGAAUCUCUAUCAGACACUAUGCACAUGGGCAAGCCAUGCAGUUUAAUGACAUUAUCCAUUAGUGCCUGAAAAACUGUUUGGACUGUGUAAGGAUGAGCCAAUGGAAUGAAAUGAGAGUAUUUGGUCAAUCUGUCCACAACCACUAGAAUCACCUCUUUGCCUUGAGAGUUAGGCAAUGUAGUAAUAAAAUCCAUGGUUAUGUGGGACCAAGCCAUAUCAGGCACUGGCAGUGGUUGCAACAGUCCAGGAGGAUAUAUGUGUUCUACUUUGUUUAACUGACACACAGGGCACUGACUGACAAAUCUUUCAAUGUCUUUCUUCAUGUUGGGCCAAUAAAACACCUUUUUAAUCCUGUAAUAAGUUGCUUUAAUGCCAGAAUGCCCCCCUAAAGCAGAGGAGUGAAAUGUUUGCAACAAUUACUGUCUGAAUUAUGUGCUGGCCCCCACAUAGAUCCUGUUGUUAUACUUCAAGAACCCAUUGUGUGUGGAGAAUUUUGGAGUGGGAUCAUUGUCUGCAGCAACUUUGUGCAAGAUUUUGUCAGUAUCUGCAUCUCCCUGAUAGCUUUUCAUCACAUCUUCAGUCCAUGCUGGUAUCACUGUAGUCACACUAUUGCAGUGCAUUGGGAAAGUGCUAUCUCUUCUAGAUAAUGCAUUUGCUACUGUGUUCUCCUUCCCCUUUUUGUAUUCAAUGGAAUAAUCAUAUUCCAAGAGUUUAAGAAGCAACUUGUGCUGCACUCCUUCAGUUAAUCUCUGAGUAGCCAUAUACUUUAAUGACUGUUGAUCUGUCUUGAUGAUCAGUUUGUUUCCCCACACAUAAUGCCUCCACUUUUUUAGAGCUUCUAAAAUUGCCAUAGCUUCUUUUUCAUAGAUGGACUGAGCUGCAGACUUGGGACCUAAACUUUUACUGAGAUAUGCAAUAGGUCUCCCUUUCUGCAUGAGAACUGCCCCUAUUCCUUUUGCACAUGCGUCAGCUUCAAUUGUGAAAGGGAGAGAGAAAUCUAGCAUAGCAAGAACAUGACAAGAGGUCAUAGUGUUCUUUAGUGUUUGAAAAGCUUUGCUUUGUUCAGGUCCCCAUUUGAAAGCAUCUUUCUUUAACAUGUCAUGCAGUGGUCUGCAAAUGUGACCAUAAUCUUUCACAAAUCUUCUGUAGUAUCCAGUCAGACCAAGAAAACCUCUUAGUUUUGUGACAUUUGCAGGUUCUGGCCAUUCCUGCACUGAUCUUAUCUUGUCUGGAUCUGUAGCUACUCCUUUGUCAGAGAUUAUGUGUCCCAGAUAUGCAACUUGGUCUAUGGCAAAAAUGCAUUUGGACUGUUUCACAUAUAACUCAUGUUUCCUUAAGAUAGUGAAAGUUCUAAGUGUCUGAAAUGUUUCUCCAUAGACUUGCUGAAAACUAACAUGUCAUCAAAGAAAACCAGAAUGCACUUCUCUCCUUCUGAUUCAUUUAUUUCAUCACACACAGUGUUCAUGAGAUCUUGGAAAGUACCUGGACCACAAGCAAGUCCAAAUGGUACUACAGUGUAUUCAUAAUGGCCCAUAUGAGUCCUGAAGGCAGUUUUUGGAAUAUCCUCUAUGGCCAUUCUGAUUUGAUGAUAUCCUGACCUCAGAUCUAAUUUCGAGAACACUUUUGCACCAUGUAGUUCAUCUAGUAGAUCUUCAAUAAUGGGCAUUGGGAACUUGUUUUUCACAGUUAGUGCAUUUACUUCCCUAUAGUCCACACAUAACCUCCAUCCACCAUCUUUUUUCCUGACCAUAAUUGUAGGAGAUGAAAAAGGACUGAAGCUUUCCUGUAUUUCUCCCUUUUUUAUCAGUUGUUUUAUGAUCUCUUCCAUGGCUGCUUUCUGAUAGUGUGGCACUCUAUAAGGCCUUAAGUUGGGAGGUUUUGCUCCUUCUUGUAAGAUGAUCUUGUGAUCACAAGUCCUUUUUGGAGGGAGUGAAGUUGAUUCUGCAAAUAUGUCUGCAAAUGUUUUCAGCAGAGGUUGCAGUGCCAUUGGGGGUGGUGCAGGGUUUUUGUUGUUCUCAGUUUGUAUUUCAUUAAUCUGUAGAAUAUAUCCCAUAACACCCUUCUGUAGUAACUUUUCCAUUCUAGCCGCUGAUAACAGACAGUGUUUUUCUGGUAUUGAAUGGUCAUAUAGUGUCACUAGUUGUCCUUGUUUUGUAACCACCAAUAGUCUUUCUACUAGAUCUAGACAAAUAGGACUGUAUUGGUAAAUCCAAUCUGCUCCUAAUAUGAUGUCAUAAGAUUGUAACUCCGGUACUUUGAAACUGCUACAGAAUGUAUGUCCUUGGAUCUUAAAAUCCAUUGUUGGUACUUUGGACAGUGAGAUUAGUUUCCCUCCACCAACAACAGUUACUUUCCUUGGCUGGAUUGGUUGCUGAUAACAGUUGCUUUUUACUACAAAAUCUCUGCUUAUAAAUGUGUCUGAAGAUCCACUGUCAAACAAAGUUGUAGCUUUCUUUCCUGCAAUCUCCACAAUCAAUGAGAGUGUAUUUGGCCCAGGAGUGCCUUCUGCAGCAUGUACUGAAAUGUGCAUAACUUGUGCAGGUUUUUCUACAGGACUGCUAUUUUUAUCUUUGUCAGGAGUGUUUGGAGCAGUGUGGUAAGCUUGAUCUGCACCUGCACCUUCUUCUGCAGUAUCACUGUCCUCAUCCUCAUCCAGUUCUUGCAGAAUAUGUAAAGUUUUCCCAAUUUUGCACUUGUGUUGUCUUGUCCAUGGCUCUCUGCAGUACCAGCAAGCUCUGGCCUCCUUUGGAAAAGGGACAGUAGACUUUUCUGGAGAAGGUACUUGCACUUGUAAUGGGGCUGAUUGAUUUCUAUAAGAAGAAGAAUAGUUUCUUGAUUUGUAAGCUGGGAAAGCCUGAACUUUCCUAGCAGUUGCAGCUUUCUCAUAGACUUUUGCAUACCAAUAAGCUUCUAUAAUCCCAGUCGGUUUUUGUCCACAGACCUCAUGUUUGAAGUCACUCCUUAAACCCCCAAUGAAACAGCUCAACAAAAAAAUUUCUUGGAGACAAGGAUGAUCUCUUUUGACUAGAGCUACACAUUGCUCAAAGUUGUCAAUGUACUGAGUGACAGUGUUGGUUUGCUGAAUAUUCUUCAGUAACUCCACUGCUUCAUGAACACUUGCUUCUGAGAACCUGUCAGCUAUCAUCUGGCAGAACUGUUGCCAAGUAACCAUUUGCCAUGGAACACAAAUAUUUUUCAGCCAGUUCGAAGCUCUGCCUUGUAGAUGACCAGUAGCCAAAUUAACCCAUUGCUCAUAUGGAGUGUCAGAUAUGUCAAAGAAUUUUUCACAGGCUAUGAGCCAUCCAUUAGGAUCCUCUCCAUUAAAAAGAGGAAUUUCCAACCUUGGUCCUUUGAGAACUGCUUCUGCAAAAUAUGAUGGACCUCCUAAUUGAGUAGAAUGUUGAUUUCUCUGCAGAUCAUAUAGAUUUCCUACUGCUUGAUACACAGGAGAGACCCCUUAAGCUGUUGUUGUUGUAUUGAUGUACUGGCCUGUGAUGGGAUUGUAUGUGUGAGGCAGAGAGAAAAGUGGAGCACUAACAGGAGCAAAGUACCCACUGUUGCCUGAAAAUCUCAGAGUAUGAGCCUGUACUGUUGCACUGACACUUGUAGGAGCUCCUCUGAACUGCCCACUAAUUGGAUCCUCUUGUUGUGAAACAGUACUAAUUCUUGUGCUUUCAGUUACUAACUGUGAUACUGGCAAUCCAGUUGAGAGACCAGCUGUGUUUGUGACCGGCAAAUUCUCUUGUCUUCUGAACUCCUGCUCUAAAUUUCUCAUCACUGGAUCUGCUUCAUUCUGCACAUUGUUCUACUUUGAAACUGGUACAUGACCACCACCAGCUGUCUGACUUUCCUUGACUUUAAGAUCUGAAGAGACUGGCUCUGCUUUCUGAGUUGAUAUGUUCAUCUUCUCCAAAAUCAACUGUAAGGUUUGCUGAAUUCCUUCGUUCAUUUCAGAGAGCUUGGCCUCUACUUUCGGCAUAGUGACCAUCUCUGACUGGAGUUUUGACACCUCUUGUUUGAGCUCUUGUAAACCUUCUACCUCUGCUCUCAAAUCUGCUACCUCUUUCUCCACUCGAUCCACUGUGAUCUGGACCUUGGCUCUUGUGUCCGCCAUCUGAGACCGAUCCCGCUAGCCUCGCUCAACGGAAUCUUCCUCUUGACGCACGGAUCCCGUCAGGCGCCGGACUUUUACCAUCGAGAGAAGAUCUCUCAGCAACCGGAUCGGACUCAGAGAUCUGCGCCCGAAUUUCACCGCCGCCGUGUCGCCGCCACCGGACGCCGCCACCGCAAACUGGGAGGGACGAGAGGGAUUUUACGAGAGAACCCAACCUCCUGCUCUCCACAGCCUGAUUCGCCGCCGUCAACUCGUCGUUGAGGACUGCAACCUGGCUUUGAUACCUUUGUGAGGACCAAAUUACCAGAACAAGGCGAUCCUCUCAAUCUCUUGCAUUAUCAGUGAAAAAACAGUAGAAAUUUAGGGAUACAACUUGGGGAAUUACGCGAGAUCAGAGACCCCGACUUGGUUCGCUAGCUAGGGUUCUACCAACUACAGCAUAUGCUAAGAAUCUUCUUGACCAUCUCCUCCCCUUAGCGUGCCUUAUAAGCUAACAGGACAGCUCACAGCUCACAACUAACGGCACUGUUACAGAUCACAACGGUGUCGACAAAAGUAACAGUUACAGGAAAUGGUGAGGAUGGAAUCCGAGCCGUUGAUAUCUCUAGCGCUCAUCUUGACCGUCGCUUCUCUGAAUCUUCGGUGGCUGCAUCUCUUCGUCAGUAAACUCUCGGCUUGGGUCCUGACAGUGGAAAUGAACGUCCCGGAUGGAUUUCAAUUCAAAACUAAUCAGUUUCAUCUCUACUGUAUACUUAGAAGUACUAUUAAAAAGGAGUCCGCGGUUGUGAUGGUCGUAAUGGUUUCAUCACCCCUCCCGUCCCACCUUGCUUUUCUUCAUCGAAACGGUUGUGCACAUGAAAGAGUGUGCAUGAUGGCCCUAUCUAGUGGUGAGUGGACUGUCUAUUGCCAUUCAUGGAUAGCUUGAUUGGUUUGUCGUCCAGAAUUCGUGGGCACAAUCAGUGGCGGAGCUUGGGCUGAAUUUGUGGAGGGGCCAAUGGGCUGGAGGGGCAAGAAACAUGACUUUAGGCUGAUUUUAUAUGGGCUGAAUACUAGGGGAUAUAUGCUAGCUUUCUCAUGGACUGGGGGGCGAUGGCCCACUAAGCUCCGCCACUGGGCAAAAUGUCAUCCCUGGUGUUAUAGGAAGGAGUAAUAAUCAGGAAAUAUAGUGUAUAAUAUGGUUACUGUCUCACGUAAAUAUGAAAAAGAAACGACCUACCAUUGUUUUUUUAAAGAAAGCUUAACAGAUCAUAGAUAGAAAUAGAGAGAUCAACUCUCCACAAUUAACAAAUCAGAGAUAGAUACCACGUGACAUAUGUGAUAAGCAAUUCAAAUAAAAAAAAAUUCAGAGUAGAUGAUGUCAAAAAGGAAAACAAGAAAAUCUCAAAAAGAAAAAAGAAAAAUCAGAGCCGAAGGACAUCGAACGAUCUAGAGCCUUACCGAAGCAGCUAAGCCAGGCCCUAUUUACGGAUUUGCCCUCAUUGACUUCCCUCCUAUCCUCUUCCACUCCGCCGCAACCCCUUCCUUCCUCAACACCCGCAACAUCCUUGCUCGUCGUUUCCUCCGCCUCUCUCUCCUCUCCUCACGCGCUCUCCCCUCCCCUCUGAAGCCGCGACUCUUCUGAACCCUAAACCGUAGAUCCCCGCGCAGCAGGAGCGAGAUUUACUCCCGCAAGCAUGAGGUGAUAGCCGCUCGCGAUCCUUCUCUGGGCGUUCUCUUGUUCUAAUUGAUUGACGAGAUUCAUGUGCGGUCGCGUGGUGGUAGGUCGCCAUGCCGCCGGCUGACCGGGCUGGGCUGGGAUUGAUUGACGGGGCGCUGCUAUUUUAGUUUGGUUAUUACAGUAGGAUUCUGCAUAUGGUCUUCUUGUCUGUCUGUCUGUCAUAUACAGUAGUACUAGUUUGUUUAGUCAGUUAGAUUAGAUUGGAUCAUGGGUCUGGAAGUUGGGACCUGGGAGUCUGGACAUUGCGCCUUGUAAGUUGCUGUAUUUCUUGGUUAGGCGGCACAAGCGUGCGUGUCCUAGUUUUUUUGUUCAAAGGGCCGCCCUGUUUUGGCGUUCCAGAGCAUGAUUGGUUGAUUACCAUUUGUUUGGCCAACCUCACAAACUAUUGGGUGGAAUCAAGUGACAAGGUUUUGUUUGGAUGUUGCACCUUGUGUGUGCCCCAAUUCUUUGCUUGUUUGUUUGUGUGUGAUCUUUAGAGAUCACUUUUUUGGUGUGAUCUCUAGAGACAUCAACAAUUCUUUGCUAGUUUUGUUGCUUCAGACUCGAGGUUUUGUGUGUGAUCUCUGGAUAACAUAUUUUGGUUGUUUGUGUGUGAUCUCUAGAGAACAUGAUAGAAGCAAACGGUCUCUUGGAGUACAUAAGAAGCGCAAGUUGCGGUGAAUCUGAAACAGCCUAAAUCAGAUGACUUGCGUUGCUAUAGUGAUGUCUCACAUCGCAUUGUAUUGUUUCUAAUUGGUUAUCAAUUAUUUGGAGGUCUCUCAUUGUCCAUCAAUCCUAUCUGUUCUCGCACCAAGAAAUUGGUUAUCAAUUACUCCCUCCGUCCCAAAAAGUUUGUCACUCAAAUGGAUGUAUCGGGAGUACUACACAUACAUGAUCACUAGUUUGAGAAGUUGCCUGUUAGCAUAUGGAUCAAGGAUAGGACAAAAUAUGUAUAUACUGGAACCAAGACUAUUUUCUCUCUCGGAUAAGCUGUAUAUGCAACACUGUGAGUUGUGAUUACCAUGACUAUAUGGCUAAUACAGAUAAUUAAGGAUCAAGACAGUUUGGCCGAGUGGUCUAAGGCGCCAGAUUUAGGCUCUGGUCCAAAAGGGCGUGGGUUCAAAUCCCACAGCUGUCAAACUUUUUUUUUUCAAUGUACCUUUUAUUUUUCUCCUUCUGUAAAUCCACGAAUCUUGUAGAAGUGCACUAAUCAUUACUAAAUUAGAUUAUGCACCUUGGAGUUGGGACCUGGGAGUCUGGACGUUGCGCCUUGUAAGUUGCUGUAUUUCUUGGUUAGUAGGCACAAGCAUGCGUGUUAUUGUGAUUUGUGAUAUCCUAGGUUUUUGCUAAAAGGGCUGCUCUGUUUUGGCGUUCCAGAGCAUGAUUGGUGACUGAUUACCAUUUGUUUGGCCAACCUCACGAAAAGUUGCCCUUUUUUGGCCAACAAAUUGUCUGGCCAUUUCUUAUUUGUUGAUAAUGAUUUUCGUGAUUGUAGAAACGAGAUUUGAUUGAAAUCGUGACGGGGAUUGUUUUGAGUGCAGUCGCCACCCGAGCACUAAGUGGGCGCAGAGGCUGGACAAGGUUUACUUGACGAUUGAGCUGCCCGACGCAAAGGAUGUCAAGCUCAACCUGAGGCCUGAUGGCCAUUUCAACUUCUCAGCAAAGGCCCCUGCUGAUGACAUGCAGUAUGAGCUUGACCUUGAGCUCUUUGAUGCUGUCAGUGUUGAGGUUGGUGUCUGCAAUUACUGGCAAAUGUCAUCUUCUUGGGGGUGCACUUUUUACAUGCUGGACUGCUGUUAUUUAUGUGUUUACAUUACAUGCAGGAGAGCCAAGCGGCUGUUGCCCCGAGGGCUAUAUGCUACCUUGUCAAGAAAGCUGAGGGCAAGUGGUGGCCUAGGCUGCUCAAGAAGGAAGGUAGGCCGCCUGUGUUCCUGAAGGUUGACUGGGAUAAAUGGCAAGAUGAGGAUGAUGAAGAUGCCGGAUGUAAGUAAUGUGGUUCAAACAUGUGUUUGUUUGGGUCCUAUACCAUACUACGCUGUUCGGGGUGAACUGACCUCAGGUUAUCUGUCUCGCAGUUGGUGACUUUGGUGAUAUGGACUUCUCGGUAUGGGCCUGGUACAAUCUUUCUUCGGUUACCAAGUAAAUGUUAGCAAGGCUUCUCAUUGUUCUUUGUGUUUGCAGAAGCUGGACAUGGGAGGUGGUGAUGACGAUGAUGAUGAGAUUGAGGAGGAGGAUGAAGACAAUGUGGUUGACAGUGCUAACAAAGGUAGCUUAUGAUGUUUAUCUUGCACCUCAUCAUUUGUUUGGGAAGCAUGUGCCUGUUCAAGGCUUCAUAUUUCUGUCCUGCUAUUUGAUUAGUGCCAUGCCGAUAAUGUUCAGAACGAGGAUACUAGUAUGACAUUUUGCUGAAUCCUACUCUUAACUAAUUUAGCCUUUUAGUGGCGAACCCUCAGUUUUUCUGGAGGUCCAAUGCGAGAGUAGCAUAGACAUAUCUUCAGUGUUGCUUUCAUAAUCUGCCUAUCACAUACACAUGCCUGUGGAAGUGUCAGACUCUGUCCAGUGUUGUUCAAUGCAAGUCGAGGCGACUGUAUUAACCAUCUGUUCCAAGAACAGUACAGAAAGACUUUGGCUGGCCUUCUCUUUUAUGAAUUACUCCUCGACUUUCUGUACUGUAUUACAAAAUUUUGAUUUGGUCUAUUUAUUGCAACCUAGCAUAAAUAAAUUGACCAUUUCGAAAACACACACAAAGAACUUGUGGAGUCUGGUCUCGACUCUUGGAUGUUGAAAAUGGAUUUUAUGGGUAGUACUGUGUGCUCAACUACUAACCAUGUUGCUGUAAAUGCAGGUGAUGUAGAUGCUGAGAGAGAGCCGGGGAGCAAGGGAGGGGAAGCUCCAUCAGCUGCUGGUGAAGAAGCAAAGCCAUAAGAUUGGAGGCGAUGGCAUCGGUCGUUACAACUUAUGAUGAUCAUGAGAUCUGUUUCUAGACGCGAGGUAGAAUUUUGGUGUGCCCCUGAAGUUGGGUAGUAGAGGUGGUGUUGGUAGCUUUUGGCUUGGGGCUAUCUGUAGUGUUCAACGUUAUUCUGCACCUUUUGUUUACUAGUAAAUUUUAUGUGCUUUGCACGUCACUUAAAUAUAUAAAAGCAUGGGAAAAUACAUUUGAAUAUGUAUUUCCUUUCCUAGAAUCAUAUUAGACAAUAGUCCCAGUUCCCAGAAUCUGACUGCUUCGCUCAGAAUCUUUGAGCCGCAUUUGUUUUAUUAUCCUAUCUAGUUAGGGUCUAAUUAGUUAGGAUUGUAAAACAAAUGGGGUCAAAGAUUCUGGAAGAAGUUAAGGAGGGAUAGAUUGCGGGAGAAUCUUGCAAAAGACCUGGGUCUUACCUCUCUAGAAUCUAGAUUGUUCUAGUCUCCUUUUGUUAGAGUAUCAGAUAAGCAUGUGGAAAGAUACUUCUAAAAAACAUGAGAACAACACAUCCACGCACACAGGCUUCAUGACCAGCGCGGCGUGUCGCCACGACUCUGCGUGCUAGUACAAAGUAUGAGCAUAAACGGCCCUUAUCGUGGAUAAGGGCCGAGAAAUCAGAGAUUUACAGGUUGCGCAUGGCUGCGGCCGAACAAAGUCCGUAUUUGAAACCGAAAAUUUUGAAAAAGUAUUCCGGUAAGAAGUGAAAAACACAACUACAUUCAUGGAUUGAUCAUCGCUAUAUAGAAAGUUAUUUUACAUAGUGCAUUCGCAACCGGGUGCGGCCCUACUACAUUCGCAAAAUCGGAGCUCAUCGGAGCUCACCGCCAUCCCUCCUCUGCUCAUUCGUUGUUGUUGGAGGAAACAAGAUCGACGUACUUGUCUUGCUCCUCCUACUCGCGGCGCAAUUGAGCCGAGGUCGCUGAGCUCCUCGUCCCCCCGCGACACGCAUCCUCCUCAUGUUCGUGCGCAGAGCGCUCGGCGAGCGUCGCUUCGAAGGCGUUCGUGUUCGGCCCGGCGAGGUAGUCCUUUGGGCCGGAGACGUCGCGGUUGCGCAGGGGCUUCUCCCCUUCCUCGAUCUUGAUGGCGCGGAGCGGAGUGAGCUCGCCGUGCUCCCUCUUCACCGGCAGCAGCGGUGCGUCGACGAGCUCCCCGCGUCGAAGAGGCGCGCAUGGCGGCGGUCGUAUUCCUCCGUCUCGCGACGGAGGAGGGACGGUGGCACCGGGAGCCCGCAGUUCGUGCAGCGCUUGCGCGCCGCGUCGGCCAUGACGCAACGCUUGCGCUUCGGGUCUUCGCCGCUACCGCGAUAGCCAGAGCUCGACAUCGGCGCAGAUGGGUGGGCGGGGGGCAGUGGUUUUAACUCGCCGACAGCGAGAAAUUGGAGAGGGGAUUGAGGAUUCACGGCGGCGGACGGAUAGGGUUUCGGCCCGUAUCCUCGCGGUAAACCCGUAGAUAUAUCGCGUGAGGAGGGGGCGGUUUGCGGGUCACCGUAAAAUAAUUUACAGGCCAAGCUACUGUGCGGGCUCUGGUCUGGCCGGGAAAACGGGUCGGGCCGUAUAGUGGCUGAAAUUUUAUCGCGCGAGUGUACGGAGAGAUGCUCUAAAAAGUGGCAUAUAGUCAAUGUACUACCAAGGGUUGCUUAUUGCCCAACCAGAACCGAGUGAUUGGCGCACACAGUGGCAGAGAGGGGAGAGAGCACGGGUGGGGUGGAGACCGGAGCGGCGAGGGUUUUGGUGCCAGCGUUGCUGCCCUGGGUGGAGAAACCCCACCCCUCGCGCCCUCCGCCCGCCUCGGGAGUCCGGCAGGGCUCCGGAUCUACCCGGCCGCCGCCGCCGGCAUCAGGCCCUUCGCUUCGGUGGGAAGUUCUCCGUCGCGUCGCCCCGUCUCCCGCGUCAGUUUCCCCCUUCGAUUCCUCCGGCUUUCCGGCGGUUUCAUGCUUUGUUCCGGUCGAUCUCGGCGUAGAUGUACGUACUUUGGUAGUCUGUUUGGUGAUUUGUAGUAGUAUAUUUUCCGCAUGCUUCAUGGAUUUUCCCUUGGAAUUGGCCCGAUGAUGAUUAGGCUGGAACCCCCAAUGCGGGGAUGUGGAUGAAUAUAUAGAUAGAUCGGCUCAGAUCUGAGCUCGAAAUGGCUAAUGCUGCGCUGGCUUCUCUUUUCUGGGCGCCGAGGCCUGUGUCUGGGUCAGCCGUUGCUUCCGCUGAAGCUCUGCCACUGACCUAGGGCCGGCCCUUGUUGAGGUCGGUCUACCUCUCCGUCCUUCUCCUGCUCGCCGUCAUCGCCGCCGCACUUUUGCCAUGGCCUCGCCUCGCUGCUUCUUUCGGUUCACCGAGACACGCCCCAGUACCGGCUUUGGAGCCUGCCGCAUUAGCCUGCGAUGAAAACUGAAAUGUGAGGGCCAUAUUGUGAUGCAGAAUUCUCAGUAUUUUUGUCUGAAUCGAACUCUUUUGCAUGGUCACACUGUAAAACAGACAGCUUCUGCACAUUGUGUUAUAUUGUAGUGUAGUAUGCAGUGGUGGAAUGGAAUGCCAUCUUACAUUGUGUGGACCACUCCUAGGCUAGUGAUUUGGUAGGAUAAUUAAUCGAUUGCACUGAAUCACCCGCACUAAUCUCCUAUGGCUAUUUUCCUCUUUGUUUCCUUCGGCUUUCUGGUGGUUUGAUGCUUUGUUCUGAUCGAUCUCGGCAUAGAUUUACUUCUGUGGUUUGUUUUGUGCAUUUGUAGUGUAUGCUAUGUUUUUGCUUGUUGCAUGGUUUUUUCCUUUCUCUUGGCCUGAUGAUGAUUAGGGUGAAAGGCCCAUGUGGGGAUGGAUAGAUAGAUCGAUUGAUCGGCUCAGGUUUGAGCUUGAAAUGGGAUCAGCCGUUACAUUCGCAAGGUUGAAGCCCCUGAAAUGGCUAAUACAGCGUCGGCCUUCUCUGUUCUAGGCGCUGAGGCAUGUUUGCUUGGGUUAGCCGUUGCUUUUGCUCAAGCUCCGCCACUGACUGAUGGGAUGGUUCCCUUCUUCUUUCUCUUUCUACCAGCUCACGUGUCACCAUUGGUGACACAGCUGUCGCUGCCGUCUCGUCGUUGUCGUCACCACCACCACCAUUGCCUGGUCUUCUCUAUUGGUCCACCCAGACACGUGACAGUGCCAGUUUUGAAGCCCGCUGCAUUAGCCUAUGUUGAACCUGAAAUCUGAGGGCCAUGUUGUAAUACGAAUUCUCGGGAUUUUCAUUUGAAUCGAACUCUUUUGUGUGGACUCACUGUAAAACAGACAGCUUACACAUGGCGUUAUACUGUUGUGUAGUGCGCAAUGGUGGAACGCGAACUCACAAUGUGUGAAGCAGUGCUUUGGGCCAUGCAUGUGCGCCUGCCUGUCUUUGUCGAGAUCUAGGCUAGUGUUUUGGUAAGAUAAUUAACUGGUCACACUGAAUUAGUCACCCAUCCCUCGUGUGUUAGAUAUGAUGGCGUAGGAUCACACUGACAGAUCUUACCACUUCAUCUGAGGUUCAUUUUUUGUACAUCUAUAUUCUUGUUUUCGUUUCUUUUACCUUAUUCUGUGUCAUGUGUCAUUUCAAUAACUGUCCAUUUGCCAUUCGUCAAUGCAGGUUGGCUCUUUUGUAGGGAAUAUGAUAUGCUUUUGCUAAAGAAAUAGUGAUUAAACACUUUUGAGUUGUUCUCCGCCGCAUUGCCCCGUCUCCUACGUCUAUUUACCCCUUCGAUUUCUCUGGCUUUCCGGUGGUUUGAUGCUUUGUUCUGGUGGAUCUUGGCGUAGAUGUACUUUGGUAGCCUGUUUGGUGAUUUGUAGUAUAUUUUUCGCAUGCUGCAUGGAUUUUCUCCUGGAUUGGUCCGAUGAUGAUUAGGCUGAAACCCCCAAUGCGGGGAUGUGGAUGGAUGGAUAAACAGAUAGAUCGCCUCAGAUCUGAGCUCGAACAGCGAUCAGCCGUUGCGUUGCAAGGUUGAAGCCCCUGAAAUGGCUAAUGCGGCGCUGGCUUCUCUGUUAUGGUCGCUGAGGCCUCUGUCCCGGUCAGCCGUUGCUUCCGCUGAAGCUCUGCCACUGACCUAGGGCUGGCCCUUGUUGAGGUCUACCUCUCCGUCCUUCUCCCCAUGCUCGUCGUCGCCGUUGCACUUUUGCCAUGGCCUCGCCUUGCCUCUUCUUUCGGUUCACCCAGCCACGCCCCAGUGCCCGCUUUGGAGCCCGCCGCAUUAGCCUACGAUGAAACUGAAUUCUGAGGGCCAUGUUGUGAUACAGAAUUCCCGGUAUUUUCGUCUGAAUCAAACUCUUCUGCACGGUCACACUGUAAAACAGACAGCUUCGGCACAUUGUGUUAUAUUCUACUCCCUCCAUUCCAAAAUAUAGUGCGCCCGCGCUUCCUGAGGUCCAACUUUGACCAUAAAUAUAACCAACGCGACUGACUGCAGCGAUCGAAAAAAUUAUAUAAUUGAAAACUUCUUUUGAAUACGAAUUCACUGGUAUAACUUUUGCUCCCGCCGCAGUUGGUCUCGUUGGUUAAAUUUAUGGUCAAAGUUGAAGCACGGGAAUAGAGGAAGCACUAUAUUUUGGAACGGAGGGAGUAUAGUGUAGUAUGCAAUGGUGGAAUGGAAUGCUAUCUUACAAUGUGUGGAGCACUCAUAGGCUAGUGAUUUGGUAGGAUAAUUAAUCGAUUGCACUGAAUCACCCGCGCUAAUCUCCUAUUGGCUAUUUUCCUCUUUGUUUCCUUCGGCUUUCUGGUGGUUUGAUGCUUUGUUCUGAUCGAUCUCGGCUUAAAUUUACUUUCGUGGUUUGUUUGUGCAUUUGUAGUGUAUAUACUAUGUUUUCGCUUGUUGCAUGGAUUUUCCUUUCUCUUGGCCUGAUGAUGAUUAGGGUGGAAGGCCCAUGUGGGGAUCGGUAGAUAGAUCGAUUGAUCGGCUCAGGUUUGAGCUUGAAAUGGGAUCGGCCGUUGCAUUCCCAAGGUUGAAGCCCCUGAAAUGGCUAAUACAGCGCCGGCCUUCUCUGUUCUAGGCGCUGAGGCAUGUGCUUGGGUUAGCCGUUGCUUUUGCUCAAGCUCCGCCACUGACCGAUGGGCUGGUUCCCUUCUUCCUUCUCUUCCUACCAGCUCACGUGUCACCUUGGUGACACAGCUGUCGCUGCCGUCAUCGUCCUUGUCUUCACCACCGCCACCAUUGCCUGGUCUUCUCUAUGGUCCACCCAGACACGUCACAGUGCCAACUUUGAAGCCCGCUGCAUUAGCCUUUGAUGAACCUGAAAUCAGAGGGCCAUGUUGUAAUACGAAUUCUCGGGAUUUUCAUUUGAAUCGAACUCUUUUUGUGUGAACUCCCUGUAAAACAGCCAGCUUGCACAUGGUGUUAUACUGUUGUGUAGUGGGCAUUGGUGGAAUGCGAACACACAAUGUGUGAAGCAGUGCUUUGUGCCAUGCAUGUGCGCCUGCCUGUCUUUGCCGAGAUCUAGGCUAGUGUUUUGGUAAGAUAAUUAACUGGUCGCACUGAAUCAGCCACACCCAUCCCUCGUGUGUUAGAUAUGAUGGCGUAGAAUCACACUGACAGAUCUUACCAGUCCAUCUGAGGUUCAUUUUUUGUACAUCUAUAUUCUUGUUUUUGUUUCUUUUACCUUAUUCUAUCUAUGUCAUGUGUCAUUUCAAGAACUGUUCAUUUGCCAUUCGUGAAUGCAGGUUGGGUCUUUUGUAGGAAAUAGGACAUGCUUUUGCUAAAGAAAUAGUGAUUAAAACACUUUCUUUCAGUUACUUUUCUUAGCAGUUUAAUCUCAUAUUACAUCUUCCAUUUAAUAAGAUCCCAACUGUGAACUUUUGGCUUUGCACCAAAAUUUCUGUUUUGAGUUUUUGACUAUAUCAUGAUGGUAUUUUUCUGGGAUGGUGGUUGGAAGCAUGUAUUGCCUAAUGAUGAAAACUAAUGUCAAGAGAUGGCACAUGACAUGAUCCCUCCCCCUUCUCUCUCUCUCUCUCUCUCUCUCUCUCUCAUGUUUGUGUGUUCGCGCGCUCUCAUGUUUGUGUGUUCGCGCGCGCGUACAUUGGCAGAGGAUCUACCUUUCUUCAUGCCCUUACGGGUGAAUUGAAGAUCACCUCUUGUGCCAUCAAUGAAUGCUACAUAUUUGAACAUGUGAAGGCACUGGCUUCAUUUUCGUAUCACAAAUUAUUGGCGAAGUUAUGUUUGACAUAUUUAUUUGGUAUCAUCUUCCAGAUCUGUAUAUAUUUGCUUGAUGCGAACCCUUCAUUUGCACUGUUAUUUCUUAUGCUUAGAUUAUGUUAAUUUCUAUUGUGACAGAAUCGUGAUGUUUCAUUUUGUUCUUGAUGGUGGAUAGAAUCAUAUAAGUGUUCUCUUCUAUACAUCGCCCGAUGAUGAAAAUUGAAAAUAUAGAGAUGGCACUUGGACAUGAUCCUCUCCUCCCUGUCCUCCUCCUCCUCUCUCUCUCUCUCUCUCUCUCUCUCUCUGCGUGAUGCUUAAUGGCACAUGCAGCAGCAACAGCAGCAGCAGAUCAAUCUUCACAUGCCUUAUGGACAAAAGGGAGAUCAUAUCUUGUGCCAUCAAUGAAUGCUACAUCUAUGGCACCUGAGGGCAUGAUGUUUUUUUCAUACCUUACACGGAUUACCGGCAAAAUUUGCAUGCAUAUAUUUAUUUUCAGUUCCAUCUUCCAGAUUAUCUCUGUUGGCUUGAUGGGGACCCUUCAGUAGCAUUGAUGUUCAGAUUUUGCAUCAUUUUUGCUUUGCUUCAUCAUUUUUGUGCAUUUGCUAUGGUUUCAUCUGAUUAUGGUUAAGUUUGCUCCGUUGAUUUUUCAUUACUUUUGUAGUACUCCCUUUGUCCCAAAAUAACUGUUGCUGAUUUAGUACAAAGUACAAAGUUCUACUAAAUCAGUGACACUUAUUUUGAGACAGAAGGUGUACCUUUUUAGCUUGUUUUGCUUUUCACCUCAGCAGAGGAAAAUAUUUGGUGUUUCAUGAUUUAUCAUGAGGGAUCACUGUUGUAAAUCAGCUUGCAUUUGAGUUCCAAUCACGAAGUGGUAGCUCUUUACCAGGGUGAAGGUUUUGAAGUGGCCAAAGCAUUGUUGGUUUCUCUUUGUAAUGUUUAUUAGUGGUUUUAAAUUAGUAUUUUGGUUAUGAUUUGUGCUUCAAAAUUUUCCCUGAAGUGCUGAUACCAGUUCUAUACACCAAGAUUAGUCUUUUGGAUGGUGGUUAGAAGUAUAGAAAUGCCUUCUACAGUGUAUUGCCCCAUGAUGAAAACUAAUACGUAGAGAUGGUGCGUGACAUCGUCCCUCCCUCUCUCUUGCUGUAAUAAAUUGGAUAAAAUUUAUUUUAAGGUGGCUAAUCUAAAUAUAGGAGGAUGUGGUUGCAGACCUUGGGAUGUUUUCCAGUUUUUUGUUUGGAAAUAAUUGAUCUGCUUUUAAUUUGAAGAUGACGAGGAGAUAAGGAGGAGGAAAAUUAAAAGGCUUCUUUGGUGGAGGGGUAGGAGAAGCCUGGAUCAGCCAACGAAGCAGGCGAGCUGUCGUGUAUGGAUCGGGUGAGCAUUACUGGAAUCAGCUAAUUUGCCAUCUGCCAGCUCUUUGCCAUCUGCUAGCUGACGGCAAAGAAGCUCUUUGCCAUCAGCUACCUAAAAGCAGACGGCAAAGAAACGGCAGACGACAAAACAGGCCUUUGCCAUCCGCUGGCUCUUUGCCGUCAGCCAGCUGACGGUAAAGAAUCUUUGCCGUCCGCUGGUUGACGGCAAAGAGAGAGGUGGCCCCCACCCCCCGCCCGUUUAGAAAAACUUAACGCCCUACCUCUUUGCCGUCAGCAGACGGCAAAGAGAGAUAAAUGCGGACGACAAAGAUUGGCGGACGGCAAAGAGCAGACUANNNNNNNNNNNNNNNNNNNNNNNNNNNNNNNNNNNNNNNNNNNNNNNNNNNNNNNNNNNNNNNNNNNNNNNNNNNNNNNNNNNNNNNNNNNNNNNNNNNNNNNNNNNNNNNNNNNNNNNNNNNNNNNNNNNNNNNNNNNNNNNNNNNNNNNNNNNNNNNNNNNNNNNNNNNNNNNNNNNNNNNNNNNNNNNNNNNNNNNNNNNNNNNNNNNNNNNNNNNNNNNNNNNNNNNNNNNNNNNNNNNNNNNNNNNNNNNNNNNNNNNNNNNNNNNNNNNNNNNNNNNNNNNNNNNNNNNNNNNNNNNNNNNNNNNNNNNNNNNNNNNNNNNNNNNNNNNNNNNNNNNNNNNNNNNNNNNNNNNNNNNNNNNNNNNNNNNNNNNNNNNNNNNNNNNNNNNNNNNNNNNNNNNNNNNNNNNNNNNNNNNNNNNNNNNNNNNNNNNNNNNNNNNNNNNNNNNNNNNNNNNNNNNNNNNNNNNNNNNNNNNNNNNNNNNNNNNNNNNNNNNNNNNNNNNNNNNNNNNNNNNNNNNNNNNNNNNNNNNNNNNNNNNNNNNNNNNNNNNNNNNNNNNNNNNNNNNNNNNNNNNNNNNNNNNNNNNNNNNNNNNNNNNNNNNNNNNNNNNNNNNNNNNNNNNNNNNNNNNNNNNNNNNNNNNNNNNNNNNNNNNNNNNNNNNNNNNNNNNNNNNNNNNNNNNNNNNNNNNNNNNNNNNNNNNNNNNNNNNNNNNNNNNNNNNNNNNNNNNNNNNNNNNNNNNNNNNNNNNNNNNNNNNNNNNNNNNNNNNNNNNNNNNNNNNNNNNNNNNNNNNNNNNNNNNNNNNNNNNNNNNNNNNNNNNNNNNNNNNNNNNNNNNNNNNNNNNNNNNNNNNNNNNNNNNNNNNNNNNNNNNNNNNNNNNNNNNNNNNNNNNNNNNNNNNNNNNNNNNNNNNNNNNNNNNAGCACCCCGACCCCGACACGGCACCCCGACACCGACACGACACCCCGACCCCCGACACCUCCCGAAAAGGUGUUCUUUGGCCUUGCAGAGGCCGAUGGGGUCAUAUAUUUGUGAAUUAUUAGUUAGGUCAUAUAUUUUUCGAUUUUGUUAUGAAAACAUCAUAUAUAAUUGUGUUGAUCGGGUAGAUUUAAAUGUGCAGUUGUUUCAUCGUUGCGAGGUUUGGUGGUCGACGACCUCGCCGUGCGUUUGACGAGCUCUGCCCCUUCGUUCGUGGGUGAGCACAAAUGACAUGUCCUCCUCCCCCGUUAAUUAUUUGCUCUGUUCCGGUGUUCGUGCCGAUGAAACUUGAUAGCUAGCUAUAUAUGUGUCUUGAAUCAUCAGUAUGCGUAACCAAUAUGUGUCUCCCGUUCGAAAGCGUCAUAGUUAUAAAUACGCAUGCAUGUGCAUAUUUAUAACCUUGAUUCUUUCGAAUUGUCCAACGCUAUCCAUGGACAGCCCGAGUAUGUUUAGAUUGGGUUCGUUUUCCCAUAUGCUUUGCUCCGGAUCUGACGCAUAAGUUUCGUCAGUGCCUCCCCUGUUGUUCUCCGGGUACACAUCCUCUCUGUUUAUUGCAGAGACGUGUAUCAGGAGAACAACGGGGAGGUGCUGCCGAAAUUUUGCGUAGGAUCCGGAGCAUAGCAUGGGAAAAUGAACCCAAUCUAAACAUACUCGGGUGGGAUUAGGACCUAUCAUUACCCAUUAGAGUGUAUGUUGCAUGGACGUAAUAAAAUUGACAAAGUAGAUCAACUGAUGAAUAUAUACAUGGUGAAUUAUAUAUAUAUAUAUUUGUUGUGUGUCUAGUAGCUCUGAAAGUCAAGAUGAGUGAUUGUCUCAUUACUAACUAGUAUGACUGAGUCGUCAAACCAAAUGUGCAGUCUGUGUGCGAGAAGACCGGUCAGACCGCUCCGCCGAUGCCAGUGAUUGCUCCUGGGACCACGGUGAGUUUAAUUUGAAUGGACAUUACUUGCUAGUCUUAACAUUUGAGUGUCAUCAUGCUAACAAGACAUUGGAAAUGAUCUUUGAUGCAGCGUAACUCCAGACAAGCAUCGCACGAUCCUUCUCCAGCUACCGACACAAGCCAGCCCGCUCCUACACCUCCUGGAUCAUGGUAAGUUUAUCUAGUGUUUUGCUUAACACAUGCAUAAAGACCUAGACUUAGCUUUAUUUCCUCCAAUGCUUACCAUAAUGACCUAGACUUAGCUUCUUCUCCUCUAAAAUGACUUAAUAAGCUUACUGACCUCCAAAACCAUCCAUUUUACCUAAGUUAGCUCUAAAACGAUCUGUACUUAGCUUACUUAUGUCAAAAAUUGCAUAAUUAGCUUAGUUAGCUCAUAAACGAUCCAUUUUACCUAAGUUAGCUCUAAAAUGACCCAUUUUACCUUGGUUAGCUUAUAAAUGAUCCAGUUCAUCCAAGUUAGCUCAAAAAUGACCCAUUUUACCUAGUUUAGCUCCUAAAUGAUCCAUUUUACCUACGUUAGCUUUAAAAUGACCCAUUUCACCUAGGUUAGCUCCAAAAUGACCCAUCUUACCUAGGUUAUCUCAUAACCGAUCCAUUUCAACUAAUUUAGCUCAUAAACGAUCCAUUUCACCUAAGUUAGCUCAAAAACGAUCCAUUUCACCUAAAUUAGCUCUUAAAUGAUCCAUUUCAACUAAGUUAGCUCAAAAAGAUCCAUUUCAACUAAAUUAGCUCAUAAAUGAUCCAUUUCACCUAAGUUAGCUCAAAAACGAUCAGCUCAUAAAUGAUCCAUUUCACCUAAGUUAGCUAAAAAACGAUCCAUUUCACCUUAGUUACCUCAAAAACGAUCCAUUUGACCUUAGUUAGCUCAUAAACGACCCAUUUCAACUAAGUUAGCUCAUAAAUGAUCCAUUUCACCGUAGCUAGCUCAUAAACGACCCAUUUCAACUUAGUUAGCUCAUAUAUGAUCCAUUUCACGUAAGUUAGCUCAUAAAUGACAUAUACUUCUUGUUCUAGUCUUCUUCUUGUUCUACUCUUCUUGUU